rnacentral:rRNA from 1 species
UGGGGAAUAUUGGACAAUGGGCGAAAGCCUGAUCCAGCCAUGCCGCGUGUGUGAAGAAGGUCUUCGGAUUGUAAAGCACUUUACGUUGGGAGGAAGGGCAGUAAGCGAAUACCUUGCUGUUUUGACGUUACCGACAGAAUAAGCACCGGCUAACUCUGUGCCAGCAGCCGCGGUAAUACAGAGGGUGCAAGCGUUAAUCGGAAUUACUGGGCGUAAAGCGCGCGUAGGUGGUUCGUUAAGUUGAAUGUGAAAGCCCCGGGCUCAACCUGGGAACUGCAUCCAAAACUGGCGAGCUAGAGUAGGGCAGAGGGUGGUGGAAGUUUCUGUGUAGCAGUGGAAUGCGUAGAUAUAGGAGGGAACACCAGUGGCGAAGGCGACCACCUGGGCUCAUACUGACACUGAGGUGCGAAAGCGUGGGGAGCAAACAGG